CAGGGGAGGAAGGACAGGGAGAGUGCGUGUGUGCGAGAGGGGGGAGAGGCAGGGGAAACUGCAGAGAGCGAGAAGAAAAGUGCGGUAGAAGCCCGGCCCCGGGGCAUGGAGAGAACGCCUCGUUCAAACCGUGUUGGGCACCGCUCUUCAUUAAGUGAUCGCUGCUAUCAAACACGCUCUGGAUGUCUUGAAGGGGAGGGGGGGCGGGGAGAGGCGGAGGGAAGAGGGGGAAAUCCCUUUUAGUUUUGCGAUUAGGCUGCCGGGCUUUGUAAAGGGCUUAAAAACAAAGUCAUGCUCAGUCUUUUGUAGGAGAGAUCCAGAUGUUAUGUAGAUUUCUGUUUGCAUGUUCGUUUUGAGCGGAUCCGGCGGUGAGCGCAGUAUUUACGUGUGUGUGUUGCUGGACUUUACCGUUUAUCGACGUUGCGCUUGUGGAAUGUAUGCUGGAGUAUUAGCUCGAGGAUCUCCUCCAAGAUUAAAGCUAGUCCUAAGAGCAACCGAAUUGCUGUGACUGACUUUCACGGGACUGUAAAGAGAGGUGUGUGUUAGAACAGGGUGAAACUCAACAGUGACCUUUCUUUAGAAGAAAGUACUUGGGAAGAAGAAAUAGAGGUAUCUCUCUGUGCUGAAGAAGUAGAUGGCAUGGAAUACGGAAGGGCGGAUCAAAGUAUUCACUAGACAAAUACAAAUUUAGGAAAGGGUUCUGGGCUGUGUUUGGAACAAAGAAUAUACUGAGGUCUAACAGCUUUUAAUUUCUGAUCUACUUAUAUAUUAUAUUGUUG
rnacentral:lncRNA from 1 species